rnacentral:misc_RNA from 1 species
CUCCAUCACCAGCAACCCCACAAGAGUAACAAUGAUGCAACAUUCAUAGUUCAUACACCAUAAGAAAUUUAAAACCAAUUUACAAGUGCUACUUAGUAUGUAAUAAAUGUCAAAAUGAUUCACAAAAGACAGUAUAAAAAUUCCACAUUAAUCCACAUUGUGAACCCAACAAACUAGAACCAAAAGGAAGAACAGGGUUCUACAAUAUACUGGACAGAGUUUCACAACUUC